rnacentral:rRNA from 1 species
AUUGAACGCUGGCGGCAUGCCUUACACAUGCAAGUCGAACGGCAGCGGACCUUCGGGUGCCGGCGAGUGGCGAACGGGUGAGUAAUAUAUCGGAACGUACCUUUCAGUGGGGGAGUAACGUAGCGAAAGUUACGCUAAUACCGCAUAUUCUGUGAGCAGGAAAGCAGGGGAUCGCAAGACCUUGCGCUGAUUGAGCGGCCGAUAUCAGAUUAGCUAGUUGGUGAGGUAAAGGCUCACCAAGGCGACGAUCUGUAGCGGGUCUGAGAGGAUGAUCCGCCACACUGGAACUGAGACACGGUCCAGACUCCUACGGGAGGCAGCAGUGGGGAAUUUUUGGACAAUGGGCGGCAAGUACUGAUCCACGCCACUGCCGCCGUGAGUGAAGAAGG